CAAGUAAAUUGCCUUAUCGCUUUAUGUUAAAUCAAUUUUUGACUUAAAGAGGAAAGUCCGAACACCAUAGUGUAGCAUAGCGGUUAAUGACCGUCAAUCGUGAGAUUAGGAAAAGUGCAACAGAAAGAAUGUACAGAUAAUGCUGUAGUGAAAUCAGGUAAACUCUAUGUGGUGCAAUGUUAUGUAUACCAACGUUUAAGUGUAACACGUGCGAUGUUGGAGGGUAAACAGCUAAAGUUUAUUGGUAACAAUAAACGUAGAUAAAUGAUAGGGAUUCGCUAAGCGAAUACAGAAUUCGGCUUAUAGAUUUACUUACUCU
rnacentral:RNase_P_RNA from 1 species